CAUCAUUACAGCAUCAAGACACCUUGUUCUAGUUUCCCGUGUCAAAACAGUGCAACUUGUGUUCCAAGUUACGAUGAAAACAGUUACCGCUGUGAUUGUAAACCGGGUUACACAGGAAAAUAUUGCGAAACUGAUAUCAGCGUAUGUUCCAUGGCCAGUGAUCCCUGUUUAAAUGGAGGGACGUGUGUUGCUGGGGCUCUUGGACAUCCGCUUUGUAAUUGUCGGCCUGGAUACGGAG